rnacentral:rRNA from 1 species
AGUGAACGCUGGCGGUAGGCCUAACACAUGCAAGUCGAACGGCAGCACAGUAAGAGCUUGCUCUUACGGGUGGCGAGUGGCGGACGGGUGAGGAAUACAUCGGAAUCUACUUUUUCGUGGGGGAUAACGUAGGGAAACUUACGCUAAUACCGCAUACGACCUACGGGUGAGAGCAGGGGAUCUUCGGACCUUGCGCGAUUGAAUGAGCCGAUGUCGGAUUAGCUAGUUGGCGGGGUAAAGGCCCACCAAGGCGACGAUCCGUAGCUGGUCUGAGAGGAUGAUCAGCCACACUGGAACUGAGACACGGUCCAGACUCCUACGGGAGGCAGCAGUGGGGAAUAUUGGACAAUGGGCGCAAGCCUGAUCCAGCCAUUCCGCGUGGGUGAAGAAGGCCUUCGGGUUGUAAAGCCCUUUUGUUGGGAAAGAAAAGCAGCAGGUUAAUACCCCGCUGUUCUGACGGUACCCAAAGAAUAAGCACCGGCUAACUUCGUG